UGGGGAAUAUUGGACAAUGGGGGCAACCCUGAUCCAGCCAUGCCGCGUGAGUGAUGAAGGCCUUCGGGUUGUAAAGCUCUUUUGGCGGGGACGAUGAUGACGGUACCCGCAGAAUAAGCCCCGGCUAACUUCGUGCCAGCAGCCGCGGUAAGACGAAGGGGGCUAGCGUUGUUCGGAAUUACUGGGCGUAAAGCGAGUGUAGGCGGUUGCCGUAGUCAGGUGUGAAAGCCUUGAGCUCAACUCAAGAAAUGUACUUGAUACUGGGUGACUAGAGGACCGGAGAGGAUAGUGGAAUUCCCAGUGUAGUGGUGAAAUACGUAGAGAUUGGGAAGAACACCAGUGGCGAAGGCGGCUAUCUGGACGGUUACUGACGCUAAGACUCGAAAGCGUGGGGAGCAAACAGGAUUAGAUACCCUGGUAGUCCACGCCGUAAACGAUGGGUGCUAGACGUUGGCGAGCUUGCUCGUCAGUGUCGCAGCUAACGCGUUAAGCACCCCGCCUGGGGAGUACGGCCGC
rnacentral:rRNA from 1 species